AUGAUGAUGCUACCCCACCACCAGUGAUUGCUCCACGCCCAGAGCACACAAAAUCUUGCUUCAGGCACCGUGUACACUGCAAUGGAUGUGGCCACAGGACAGGAGGUGGCCAUUAAGCAGAUGAAUCUUCAGCAGCAGCCCAAGAAAGAGCUGAUUAUUAAUGAGAUCCUGGUCAUGAGGGAAAACAAGAACCCAAACAUUGUGAAUUACUUGGACAGUUACCUCGUGGGAGAUGAGCUGUGGGUUGUUAUGGAAUACUUGGCUGGAGGCUCCUUGACAGACGUGGUGACAGAAACCUGCAUGGAUGAAGGCCAGAUUGCAGCUGUGUGCCGUGAGUGUCUGCAGGCUCUGGAGUUUUUGCAUUCGAACCAGGUCAUUCACAGAGACAUCAAGAGUGACAAUAUUCUGUUGGGAAUGGAUGGCUCUGUCAAGCUAACUGACUUUGGAUUCUGUGCACAGAUAACCCCAGAGCAGAGCAAACGGAGCACCAUGGUAGGAACCCCAUACUGGAUGGCACCAGAGGUUGUGACACGAAAGGCCUAUGGGCCCAAGGUUGACAUCUGGUCCCUGGGCAUCAUGGCCAUCGAAAUGAUUGAAGGGGAGCCUCCAUACCUCAAUGAAAACCCUCUGAGAGCCUUGUACCUCAUUGCCACCAAUGGGACCCCAGAACUUCAGAACCCAGAGAAGCUGUCAGCUAUCUUCCGGGACUUUCUGAACCGCUGUCUCGAGAUGGAUGUGGAGAAGAGAGGUUCAGCUAAAGAGCUGCUACAGCAUCAAUUCCUGAAGAUUGCCAAGCCCCUCUCCAGCCUCACUCCACUGAUUGCUGCAGCAAAGGAGGCAACAAAGAACAAUCACUAAAACCA
rnacentral:sRNA from 1 species